CCGCUGUGAUGACAGUCUUAGGACACCUUUGGAUUGACCAUGAGACAAAACUCUGUUCUGAGCGGC